AGAGUUUGAUCUUGGCUCAGGAUGAACGCUGGCGGCGUGCCUAAUACAUGCAAGUCGAGCGCGACUGAUUGCACCGUCCUUAUGGACACCGUAAUCAUCGAGCGGCGGACGGGUGAGUAACACGUGGGCAACCUACCCUUAAGACUGGGAUAACCGCGGGAAACCGUGGCUAAUACCGGAUAAUACUUUUAUACAACGGUAUAAAAGUUGAAAGAUGGAUUUCUAUCACUUAAGGAUGGGCCUGCGGCGCAUUAGUUAGUUGGUAAGGUAACGGCUUACCAAGGCGACGAUGCGUAGCCGACCUGAGAGGGUGAUCGGCCACACUGGAACUGAGACACGGUCCAGACUCCUACGGGAGGCAGCAGUAGGGAAUCUUCCGCAAUGGGCGAAAGCCUGACGGAGCAACGCCGCGUGUGCGAAGAAGGUCUUCGGAUCGUAAAGCACUGUUGUUAAGGAAGAACGACAGUAAGAGUAACUGCUUACUGUGUGACGGUACUUAAC
rnacentral:rRNA from 1 species